rnacentral:rRNA from 1 species
UACGGAGGGUGCAAGCGUUACUCGGAAUUACUGGGCGUAAAGCGCGUGUAGGUGGCUUCAUAAGUCUGGUGUGAAAGCCCGGGGCUUAACCCCGGAAGUGCAUUGGAUACUGUGAGGCUAGAGUGUGGGAGAGGAGAGUGGAAUUCCUGGUGUAGAGGUGAAAUUCGUAGAUAUCAGGAGGAACACCGGUGGCGAAGGCGGCUCUCUGGACCAUUACUGACACUGAGACGCGAAAGCGUGGGGAGCCAACAGG